UUAGUACUCCCUCCGUCUCAAAAUUCUUGUCUUAGAUUUGUCUAGAUACGGAUGUAUCUAAUACUAAAACGUGACUUGAUACAUCCGUAUUUAGACAAAUCUAAGACAAGAAUUUUGGGACGGAGGGAGUAAAAU
rnacentral:pre_miRNA from 1 species